AACAAAGCUGAGAUCGCCGGGUAGUUCAAGUUUCCAGGGUUAUUACCGGCAAGACUGUGUCUGCAAGAUCUGUUUGAAUGCUUUGUGAAGACCUUGAGCUGUGAAGGACUCAACUCCUGAGUGCAGAGGAAAUCAAAAUACUCCUGAGGUCCAAUGUCGUAGACUAGACCAGGAUCCAUAGCUUUCAGAGGAUCUAUAUGUCCAGCACCGUGAUCAUAAGGCGACGAAGGUUCUGCUCCUGCUGCAUCCGUAAGAGGCUCAAGCAUGUUGUCGUGAACGUAAGCGGUUGUCAUGAGAGCUGAUUUGACCGCUGCAGGGCUCCAAUCUGGAUGCCUUGAUCUGAUUAAAGCAGCCACGCCGCUCACGUGAGGACAUGACAUGGAAGUUCCCGACAGUAUAUUGAACUUAACCCUCCUUUUGUCAGACGACAAACUCGACGGCGCCAUGUCUCCAGACCAAGCUGCAAGAAUGUUGACUCCCGGAGCUAACAAGUCCGGUUUCAAGAUCUCCAGGGAGAGAAAGUUUGGUCCUCUUGAAGAGAAUGCUGCUACAACUGGAGACGGUUUGAUCCCAACUCUUGUCCCAAGAAUCUCCAAACUCGCUGUAGCUCUUUUACUCGUCAUCGCAUACUCCUUGAUCACUUUACCUUCUUUCUCUCCUACCGCUACAGCUGGUAGCAAAUGACAAUCUGCGACAAGCUCUUCACCGUUCGUCGCGGUGUUGGUCAGUAUUAUCCCAACACCUCCUGCUCUUUUCACAACCUGGCCCUUCUGCACACGUGGAGUAACACCACGGUCGCAUAUCACGAUUUUCCCCGCUACGUUGUGCUGGUCCAAAGCACCGUCUAGACAGAACGACGUCGGAUCAGGACUACUUGCGUUCCUUCCUAAGUAAACAAGAGGAUACUGUUUGGCCCGAGACAAAACUGUUCUGCCUUUGUAAAGAGAAACUCCUUUGAAGACUCUCGUAGUUCCUAGCUUCACCGUGGCUGGAAAGUCUCUGUCCAUGGUACUUGCCCCAACCGUUGUGAUCCACGGAGAAACGUUCGUGAGGCUGAUCGGAUCAGGUCCUCCGUUACCGGCUGAACACGAGACGAACACUCCCAUCUCCAUUGCUCCAAACGUUGCUAUUGCCAAACUGUCACGGGAAUAAGUCGAGAUCCCACCGCCUAAGGAUAUAGAGAGAACAUGGACUCCAUCAGCAACGGCUUGAUCAACCGCUGAUAAGAUGUCCGAGCUGAAACAUCCACCAACCCAACAGACUUUGUAAGCAGCGACUCUCGCCUUCGGAGCCAUCCCUCGAGCCGUUCCAUAAGCAAAUCCGAGAAGAUUUGCUCCUCUGACAGGCGAGCCAGCUACUGUUGCUGCAGUGUGCGUCCCGUGACCGUCUUUGUCUCUUGGUGAUCUGUACUCAAGCUCCUGGUCGAUCUUCCCCGUUGCAGCUUCGUAUCCUCUGUAGAAAACUCUAGCACCGACAAUCUUUCUGUUGCAGUUAUGUUUCAAGAACCCUCUUCCGGUUUCGCAGACACCUCUCCAAGUAGAUGGGACAGGAGACAUGCCUGUGUCGUUGAAGCUCUCACUCUCAGGCCAUAUCCCAGUGUCUAAAACACCAACUAUCACAUCGUGGUCGGUGACUCUCUCAGCCCAAACUCUCUCACUCUCUUGCCUCUCUAACCCAAGAAACUUGGGACUUCUUGUGGUGUGAAGCUCGUACCUUGUCUCUGGGAUCACAGCUACAACACCAGGUUCUUUCUCCAGCUUCUCUGCUUCCUCUUUGCUAAGCCGAGCAGCUAAUCCGUGGCGAGAAGACCUUAUGCUCUUACCCGGAUUGGAAUCCUGAGCCUUAGUCUUCUGACCUUUUUUCCUCCCUUUCUGCACCCCUAACUUCUCCCAUUCCUUAACUCUUUGAUCAAUAAUAUCAUCUUCCUGAGAACCACUGGCUAGAGUUUCCAUUUCCUCUUUUUCCUGAAUCUCUUCUAAAAGUUCACCUUCCUCCUCUUCAUCCAUAAGAACAGAGAACUUAGAAGCUGAUAUCUCAAUAACUGAAGUAUUACUCUGCAACGUAACUGUCUGCACUUUCCCUUCUUUCGCUAGAGAUACCCCAGACCAACCCUUUUCCUUCACCUUAAUUCCUUCCUCUAUAUUAUCUUCCUCCCCAAUAUCAACUUUCUGAACCAUGACCUCCACUUCCUUUAUUUGACUACUCUCUGCACUUCCUCUUAUCUUUUCACUUGUCUCCACUUCCUUCCUCUUAAUUUCACUCCUCGAACUCUUAUUCUUAACUCCAGGACUAUCUUUAUACUUUUUUCCCUUCCCUUUUAGUGCGCACACUACUUCACCAUGCCCCCAUUUAUCACACAAUUUACAUCGUGCAGGGAGCCAAGGGUAGUAGUACUUCACCGUGAACUGCUUGCCUUCCUUAGUGAAAGUAAUCUCUUUUGGCAACACCUUUGAUGUAUCCACCUUAACAAAAACUUUAGCUUCCUCCAAGUUGGUACACGUAAUGGUUUCCUGAUGGAGUUUCACCGGGAACCCAACUGUACUAGUGAUGAAACUGAACCCCUCCCACGAGUACAUAUGAAGAGGAACUUUCUCCAGAUGAACCCACAUAGGAAUAGCUUCAUCUUCUUGUUUCUCAUUCUCUGUUGUUGGCGUCCAUCUCGUUACAACCAUUGGCACCCCAGCAAUGUUCCACAUUCCUCUACGAAGUAUCUUUUCUCUAGCUUUCGGAUUUGAUACCUUGAACCUCAUCAUAGUAGCGUUUACAUCAUAAACAUCCACCUUAGCAGAUGAAUCUCCAUAACGCCAAAUCUUGUUAAGAACCAUAAGGACUUUUGCGAUGUGAGACACUUGAUCCAAAAACUUCCCUACUACGAAAUCUUCCCAUAACGGAGUUGAAUUCGCAAUAAUCUCAUCUGGAAUUUCCAUUGUGUUCUUACCAUCCUUCUCCAAUACCUCUACCUCAUGUUUCUUCAACGAUUUCUUAUCUUGCGCAACAUCAACCCAGCUCUCCGUUUUCUUCGUUACCACAGCCCGAUCUGUAAUCACAUCACCCUCCAGAAUCUCCUUAAUCACCUUAACACCCUCCGGAGGGUCCGACAAAUCCGGCGGAAUAGCCAGAUCCAUCGAUCGAAACCCUGUCACUCGUUGCACUCAAAAUCGCCAAGAGAAUCGCCUUUUAUAAAUCGACCUAAUCACAUACUAACCAUCUCUUUAUAUAUGUGUAUGUGACGAGAUCAACCCUUCUGGAGUGGGCCUGGGUGGACUUGGCCCAAGACGAUUUACUACUGUGCUCCCAUGAAGCUCUCUCGUAAACCCAAGCUUCACACCAUGUUUUCAAAAUUUGUCUGCGUUUCAACAUGUCCCAAAAAGAUAUUUUGGUGUAGAUUGAAGUCAGCUUUGUCAGUCAUAAUGUCUCCCAAACAGUUAGUUUUUGUGGACGCAAGAUUUAUUUCAGACAACAUUCUCACUGCACAUGAAAAGAUAGAUAACAUGCAAAUAAACUAAUCAAUCUCCAAAUAAUUCAUGGUGAUCAAGUCAGAUAUGUCAAUAACAUAUGACAGGUUUGGAGAAAAUUGUUGGUAGCAGUGGGUUUCAUCAAAGAUGUAUUGAAUUGGAGCUGUUAUGUAUCAUGUCAGCCACUUGCUCAGUUUUGAUCAAUGAUCAAUCGUUAGAUAGAUUUGUGUCGGCGAGAGGACUGAGGUGGGGUAUACAAAACAAUUCAUCUUCAUUCUAUUUAUACAAGGUCUUGGAAAAUGGAAUUGUAUUGAGAAAUCUAGAAAAUAUUAGAAGAAUUCAAAUCAAGACUAUUAGGGACAAAAGUCUCACAUCGGUAGUUGGAAGAGAUCUUUAGUAAUAUAUAAGAUAGAUGGGCCACUCCACUUAUCACCAAUUGGUUUUAGGUUGGAAGCCCAUGUAGCUUAACAUGGUAUCAGAACCCGAUCCACGCAGUCCAACCCGAUCAACAUCGACCCGGCCCAAAGUUGGCCCUCGAUCCUUGCCCAAACAUUCCGAGAUUGAUUCUUAAAGAGCCAUCAUCUCGAGUGGACGUAUUUAGAGACAAAGGUCCCACAUCGAUAGUUGGAAGAGAUCUUUAGUAAUAUAUAAGAUAGAUGGGCCAUUCCACUUAUCACCAAUUGGUUUUAGGUUGGAAUCUCAUCUAGCUUAACAACAUGUAGAAUGUGAACGAGUUAUAUAAAGCAUUUGCAUUCUUUUUGUGCAGGAGUCUGAUGAAAACACGAUAUUUUAUUUAAAAAGAUAGCUUAUGCAAGAACAUGAACUAAAACUACUCACAAAGUUUUUUUAAAGCAUUGCUUCUAGAGAAGAGCUCUCCCUUACAUAAAGAAAAUCUUAUUUGUGAAACUAAAACAUUAGAGUUUCUUGAAUAACGGUUUGUCCUCUCUUCUACAGAGGUGGCAACCAUGUGAUUAUAACCGGGCUACGAACCUUAUGCGUCGCACUCUUCCACAAAAGACCACCAAACUCAGGCCUCUUCAUCCGCAGCUUCGUCCUGAAAGUAACAGUGUAGGAAAGCUUCUGGUGCUUGGUAGUGAAGUUGAGUGUCUUGGGCUGGACUGUGACGGUUGCGCCUUUGAAAGGAGAGACAGAGACCUUGUAGCUAGAAACGUGAGGACCAACGUUGGUCACGGUUCUUCUAAGUGUCAUAGCUUUAACAUGUGUGUUCUCUGGGAACAAAGCUGAGAUCGCCGGGUAGUUCAAGUUUCCAGGGUUAUUACCGGCAAGACUGUGUCUGCAAGAUCUGUUUGAAUGCUUUGUGAAGACCUUGAGCUGUGAAGGACUCAACUCCUGAGUGCAGAGGAAAUCAAAAUACUCCUGAGGUCCAAUGUCGUAGACUAGACCAGGAUCCAUAGCUUUCAGAGGAUCUAUAUGUCCAGCACCGUGAUCAUAAGGCGACGAAGGUUCUGCUCCUGCUGCAUCCGUAAGAGGCUCAAGCAUGUUGUCGUGAACGUAAGCGGUUGUCAUGAGAGCUGAUUUGACCGCUGCAGGGCUCCAAUCUGGAUGCCUUGAUCUGAUCAAAGCAGCCACGCCGCUCACGUGAGGACAUGAC
rnacentral:lncRNA from 1 species